rnacentral:rRNA from 1 species
GGUUGCGAUCAUACCAGCACUAAUGCACCGGAUCCCAUCAGAACUCCGCAGUUAAGCGUGCUUGGGCGAGAGUAGUACUAGGAUGGGUGACCCCCUGGGAAGUUCUCGUGUUGCAACAC